rnacentral:lncRNA from 1 species
AUACAGUUAGAAAACUUUCAUUUAAAUACAAAUUGUUAAUACCUCUUCAACUUGUUUCUUUCAGCAGGUCAGUGAAAAAAAAAAACAAAAACAAAACAGUUUGAAACACGGAUGUCUUGUUGGGAUUCCUGUGAUUAACUGAACACUUCAUUUAUAACUCCGUAUGAUGAGACAGAUAAUAUCCUUUUCAAAAGAGCAGAGAGACAACUUCCUGAAACUGAUCUGAAAACUAUGCGUACCUGGGACUGCCCUUUUGUUUUCCCUGGAUCCAAUCAUAAGCAUUCCAGUGAAAAGCUUUCUCCUCCUCCUCACCUGACUGAGAGACCUUAAGAAGUUAAAACAAAAUAAGGUAAUGAUGUCUAUUGCUGAGAAGCUAACACUGAUGCCAUGGGACAGCUUGGACUGAAGAGCUCAGAUAUGAUAAAGAGGAUUUUGAGUUUCUUACAAGGUCUUUCAGAAUAAAUAAAAGAAUUCCAAUGAGAUGAUCUGUCUA